rnacentral:SRP_RNA from 1 species
GCCGGGCAUAGUGGCUCAUGCCUGUAAUCCCAGCACUUUGGGAGGCCGAGAUGGGUGGAUCACCUGAGGUCAGGAGUUCGAGACCAGCCUGGCCAACAGGGUGAAACCCCGUCUCUA